UACGUAGGGUGCAAGCGUUAAUCGGAAUUACUGGGCGUAAAGCGUGCGCAGGCGGUUGUGUAAGUCAGAUGUGAAAGCCCCGGGCUCAACCUGGGAAUUGCAUUCGAGACUGAAUAGCUAGGGUACGGUAGAGGGAAGUGGAAUUUCCGGUGUAGCGGUGAAAUGCGUAGAUAUCGGAAGGAACAUCAGUGGCGAAAGCGACUUCCUGGACCAGUACCGACGUUCAGGCACGAAAGCGUGGGGAGCAAACAGG
rnacentral:rRNA from 1 species